rnacentral:tRNA from 1 species
GGCUUCGUAGCUCAGCUGGUAGAGCGUCUGCGGCUUUGAUGUAAGCUGUGUCUGUCGCUGGUUCGAAUCCAGCGGAAGCCC